AUUGAACGCUGGCGGCAUGCUUUACACAUGCAAGUCGAACGGCAGCGCGGGCUUCGGCCUGGCGGCGAGUGGCGAACGGGUGAGUAAUAUAUCGGAACGUACCCAGGAGUGGGGGAUAACGUAGCGAAAGUUACGCUAAUACCGCAUACGUCCUAAGGGAGAAAGCGGGGGAUCGCAAGACCUCGUGCUCAUGGAGCGGCCGAUAUCUGAUUAGCUAGUUGGUGGGGUAAAGGCUCACCAAGGCAACGAUCAGUAGCGGGUCUGAGAGGACGACCAGCCACACUGGAACGAAGACACGGUCCAGACUCCUACGGGAGGCAGCAGUGGGGAAUUUUGGACAAUGGGGGCAACCCUGAUCCAGCAAUGCCGCGUGAGUGAAGAAGGCCUUCGGGUUGUAAAGCUCUUUUGUCAGGGAAGAAACGACUCCUUCUAAUACAGGGGGUUAAUGACGGUACCUGAAGGAUAAGCACCGGCUAACUACGUGCCAGCCGCCGCCGUAAGAC
rnacentral:rRNA from 1 species